CAGAGACGUGUGAUACAGUAUCAAUGGAAUAAAUCAGGUCACAUGUAGGCAUGGAGUCCACCAACAUGGUAAAGGCAUGCCACCCAUGAUCUUUACAUGAAGAAAUCAAAUGACACGUAAAGCACUCAAUCCAGUAUUAACAAAUCGAGUGAUCAAAUCACACAAAGGCACGCAAUCCACAAAUAUAAAGUGUCCCCCUGGACAAACAGGUUGU